rnacentral:rRNA from 1 species
UACGUAGGGAGCAAGCGUUGUUCGGAAUUACUGGGCGUAAAGAGUGUGUAGGCGGUGCUCCAAGUCUGGUGUGAAAUCUCCCGGCUUAACUGGGAGGGUGCAUUAGAAACUGGAAUGCUAGAGGGUGGGAGAGGUAAGCGGAAUUCCUGGUGUAGCGGUGAAAUGCGUAGAUAUCAGGAGGAACACCUGUGGUGUAGACAGCUUACUGGACCAUUUCUGACGCUGAGACACGAAAGCGUGGGUAGCAAACAGG